rnacentral:tRNA from 1 species
GGGCUGGUAGUUCAGGGGUAUGAAUACCUGGUUCGCAACCAGGGGGUCGAGGGUUCAAAUCCCUCCCAGUCCACCA